CCUUUUAGACUGGAACAACUUACCGAAAGGUGAGCUAAUGCCGGAUGAGUUAUAUAAGUGCAUGUUUAUAUAGGAAAAGUUGGGGAGACCUGACGCUGAAAGAUGGACUCGCGUCCCAUUAGCUAGUUGGUAGGGUAAUGGCCUACCAAGGCGACGAUGGGUAGCCGGCCUGAGAGGGUGGCCGGCCACACUGGGACUGAGACACGGCCCAGACUCCUACGGGAGGCAGCAGUGGGGAAUUUUGCGCAAUGCUCGUAAGAGUGACGCAGCGACGCCGCGUGAAUGACGAAGGCCUUCGGGUCGUAAAGUUCUUUCGACAGGGAAGAAAAUGCCUAUAAGUAACUGUGUAUGUAUUGACGGUACCUGUAUAAGCAGCCCCGGCUAACUCCGUGCCAGCAGCCGCGGUAAUACGGAGGGGGCGAGCGUUGUUCGGAGUGACUGGGCGUAAAGAGCACGUAGGCGGUGUUGUAAGUCAUUAGUCAAAGACUAGAGCUCAACUUUAGUAAGGCUAGUGAUACUAUAAUACUAGAGUAUCAGAGAGGAUUGCAGAAUUCCUGGUGUAGCGGUGAAAUGCGUAGAUAUCAGGAGGAAUACCGUUAGCGAAGGCGGCAAUCUGGCUGGAAACUGACGCUGAGGUGCGAAAGCGUGGGUAGCAAACAGGAUUAGAUACCCUGGUAGUCCACGCUGU
rnacentral:rRNA from 1 species